ACAAAACCCGCGCUGUGUAUGCAGCGCGGGUUUUUCUUAUGCGUUAUCCUGGAACUUUGGCGAUGGGGCCGGGAGGGCCAAGCGUAUCAUCGAUCUGUCGGUCGGUAUGUAAGUGACGCAAGCUGUAUGGUAAGUGACGCAAGCUGAAAGAAGAGCGCUGAACAGCAGAAAAAAUACCGAUAGAAACAAUCUGCGUCCGAUGACCCCUAUCGAAUUUAAAAUAUCAAACAUUUGGAUUUAAUCCCUGAGUGAAGAUUUCAGUCGUAAAGUAAAAGGACGGUCCAGGCACUUGCGCUUUUUUGCCUGCAAAGAAUUCCGGUUUGCCGGUUUUCCCGGCGUCCAGUUUUGGGUAUGAGAGCGCAUCCCGAAAAGUGUGAAACGGUUUUCGGAUAAGAUGCGCGUCAAAAAAUAGUUGGAGCGCCGAUCUGAUUCAUU
rnacentral:ncRNA from 1 species